GGAAAGCUGCAGAAGUCACCAAAGGAAGCAGACUAGCGAACAAAAGUCACCCCCAAAAGAAGAGGAGGGUCUCCUCGGGGCUCGUUUGGGGCAGCUAGGCGCGGGCGGUGGCUGCACAGCCCGGCGGAGAUAAUUGUCAUCUGCAUCUGGAAGCACAUCGCUUACUGGAUCUCCACUCCACCCUGUUGACAGCACUAUUUGCUUCAUUCUAUACAAGGAUGUCCCCUGCACAAAGCCAGGUGCCCUGAUUCUUAGAAUGUAAUGGUGGCCCACGCUAUUCCUUUCAGCUUCCUACCCGAAAACAGAUACUGAACUUCCUGUCUGAGCUAGGAUUUUAUUGCUGUGAUAAACACUACGAACGAUCAAAAGUAACUUGGAGAGAAAAGAGUUUAUGGCAUCCUACAGCCUGCAGUCCGUUAUCCUGGAAAGUCAGGCCAAGAAUUCCAGGCAGGAACCUGGAGGCAAGAACUAAGUGGAAGCCAUAGAAGAAUGCUGCUUCCAGGCUUGUUCCCCAUGCCUUGCUCAGACUUGCUUCUUUCUCCUACAACCUGGAAGUCUGUGAGGGUGUGUUACAUAGUAAAUUUUAAUCAAAGCAACACAAACAAAUGGUCACAAAAUAAAUCAUGCAAAAAUAUUUCCUUAAGAAACAACUGAACCCAGCUCCAGGGUGAUUGGACCCAACGUCAUUCCCCAAAGGCAUCUUUCUUUUAUUGUGUAAAUGAGAGAAAAAUGAUGUACUGUGAAAUGUACCUAUUUUAAGUGUAUUGUUGUGUGGACCCUGAUGAUGGCUCAGAGUUCUGUCACUCUCUCUGUUAAAAUAGAGGGUAUUUGCAUCACUGAGAGAAGAUCGCUCAUGUGAUGACUCAGCUAAUUUUCUCACCCCUAUCCAGGAGGCACAUUAUGUAUGCAGUGUUGCAUGCUAGGCUAGCUUGCCUCUGGUAGAACAUAUAAACAUAUGAAUUUAAUCAUACUGUAUGUUCUCUUAGUUUCUUUCAUAUAGCAUGGAACUGUAACUAUUUCUUAUUGUAGUCAUUUUCAGUUUGUUCCUCAUACAGUAUUUAGUUUCCUGGUUUGCUUAGUAAUUAUACUGUGGGAACAUUUCAAUUAGUGCCUAUUCAUAUUAUAAUUUCUCUAUUUGCUUGAUGAUAGACAUGUAAGCUUUUUCUCUGUUUAGCCCUACUGGGAUUUUGAUUGAAAUUUCAAUGAAUUUGUAGAUAGUUUAGAAGAGUAGCUGUCUCAGAAGUACUUGAUGUUUGAAUCAGUGAGACACUGAACAACUCUGAUUAAGUCUUUGUUAAUUUCUUUUAGUAAUAUAAUCGUUAAUAGUUUGUUAAGUUUAUCGUAUGUAUUUUGAGAUCCUUUGAUGCUGUGGAGAACAGUAUUAUUAUUUCUAUUUUCCUUCUCUUGUUC
ensembl:lincRNA Gm26507 predicted gene, 26507